AAGGCGAACUUGGAGUACGCCGUCGAAGCCGCUGCGGACUUCCUGAACAAGGCGGUGAAGCCGAUGAUGGUCGGGGGACCAAAGUUCCGGGUGGCCAAGGCGAAGAAGGCGUUCGCCGGCAUCGCGGAGUCGAGCGGGUAAGGAGCAAGGACUAAGGAGUACCCCUACGUAAAAAGAGAGACCAAUCGAUGUUCGUAGCUAGGACUUCGAUUUUUUGACGGAAUAGUAGCUAAAAGGAACGAGGAGAUCGAGCCAGGCAAUCCUGAACGCUCAUUUCUUGAUGGAUGGCUUGGAUUGGCAAGUACUGCCUAAACCUUAUCCCUAUAGUAGUACUGUACAACUUUGCACAAUUAACAAGGCUAUCUAUCAGGAUCAGAAUAAACAGGCGGAUCAUCAUCCUCUUUGAUGAGUUGUGUGUAAUCUGCUGUUCUGCAUCGAUCCGUGCAGUCAUCGCUUGCCUUUGAUGUUGUACGUGUCUUACUUUUAUGAUGCUAUCCCUAGGAUAUCAUGAAAUUUCAUAUG